CCCUGCCAUUUGUACACACCGCCCGUCGCUACUACCGAUUGAAUGGCUUAGUGAGACCUCCGGAUCGAGCAUUGCAGCUCCGCAAGGGGCAGCAUGCUUGAAAAGCUGGUCAAACUUGGUCAUUUAGAGGAAGUAAAAGUCGUAACAAGG
rnacentral:rRNA from 1 species